rnacentral:lncRNA from 1 species
AUGGACAUUAGGAGGCCAAAUCUAUGGUUUUGGUGUGUUAGACCUCAUUUAAAUCGACUAUAUGGAAUUGGUCAAGGGUGGACUCGGCGAGUUGUUCUUGGCACUCGACGAGUCAGUGACCAUUGUGCACCAAAUCCUUCUUGUGAAUGGGUAAAUGUUAGGAGGGAAGUCCCUUGUGGGUUUUGACGUGAAAAGGGACUUGGAAGUCAUGGGACGCGGAAAGUGGUAUGAGCAACUCGGCGAGUCCAUAGCGAUCUCCCAACCUUUAAAGAUGGACUCAACGAGUUACUCAUACAACUCGGCAAGUCAUAGACUGGACAAGUUCUUAAGUUGGAGAUGAACUCGACGAGUUCAAGGAGGAACUUGACGAGUCGGAUGAAGAUGGUCCCGAUGUUAUGAUUGAAGGAGAACCCGUCGAGUUUUGCUAGACUCGACGAGUGGAGAUGGGGUUUGUGUGGGAUUAGAGGAGCAUGGACUCGACGAGUUGGUAGGCCAACUCGGCGAGUCAGGUCAACUGAAUGUUAACAUUGACUAAAUUUGGACUGGCCCUAUUUAUGGUUGUAUGUGAUGUGUGUUGACUUGAAGGUUGUCGUGUAGGGAUCGAGGAGUCGUAGGGAGUCGACUUGUGCGUCGGGGAUAGUUUAGACACUUCACGACAUUGAGGUGAGUUACCUUGCAGUAGGGGUGGGUCUAAGGCCACAAUGUCGGCCCAUCAAAAAGGGGUAUUUAGAAGAUAAUGUUCUUUGUGAUAAUUAUAUUGGUCUGGUUAUGUGUUGGUAGUAUGCUAUGUGUAUGAUGGGAUUAGUUUUCCUGACAGUGGUCCUUAGGGCCCAAGGGUAGGUCAGUACCCGGAUAUGCCUGAUUGUAUGCUUAUAUCUGUUGAUUGUAUGUUAGUAGUAGGAGGUGAAAUAUUCCCCAAUUACCGGUUGAAAGAUACCGAUGAUGGUUACCGGUUGAAAGAUAACGAUGCUAGUUACCAGUUGAAAGAUACUGAUGCUGGUUACUGGUUGAAAGAUACCGAUGAAGGUUACCGGUUGAAAGAUACCAACGAUAUUAUGUGGUAUGUGGUAUGAUGGGGGAACUCACUAAGCUUUGUGCUUACUGUUUUGGUUUUGGUUUCCGGUACCUCUUCGUCGAAGGGGAAAGAGUCGGCAACGUAGCAGCGCAUCACACACACAUGUUUCCGCAAGAAGUUUUUGGGAUUGUACUCUGAUUUCCUAUACUUUGAUGUUAUGGUCUGAAAUACAACAUUAUGAUUUUGUAAUGAAUGUUUAUUGACAAUGUUUUGGUAAAAUGUUUGCUAAAAACGUUAAUUCAAAAACAAAACUUUUGGCCUUGAAAAUUGGGUCGUUAAACUAUGCUUUGUGAUUACAGUUUUAGUUUAUGGUUUUUAGGUACUUCAGAGGUUAUGCUUGGUUUGGUUACUCAAAGCAUGAAUGUUGCUUGCUUUGUGCUAUGGGGGUUCUGACCAGCUCCAACUAACUAAGGAGCGGAUAUGUAACAAUCUUCGCAAGCUAGUUAGGGGGAGGGGGUGGGGACUCCUAGUGCAUCUGAUGGCUGAGAGUAGGCCGGAGAGUGCCCUAGGGAAGCCUAGGAUGAGGUUAGUGAAAAGGGUAUCGGUAAAAGGGACCUGGUGAAGUCGAAGCAAUUCUUGAGGAAAGUAUGGAUAGAUGUGGAAGGUAGUAUGGGCCCGUACUACUAGAAGCAGAGGAUCCAUACUCGAACCAAGGAGGGCCUAGAUGGAACCGGGAAACUUGGAAAGUAUAUGUGGCCCCGACAUUCGUAUGUUUAUUUCUAGAAUGGUGGUCACGCGACAUGAAGCAGGAGGUUCAGGAUCCAGGUCACGAUCGGGCUCGGGGGCAGGAUUCGAGCAUGUGGAUGAUGGGUUACGCGAGUUCAUUGCAUCCGAGAUCACGAGGGGUAUCCUUGAUGCGACGCCGAUUAUCUUCGGUUCGAUCAAGGAGGGGAUCACUAAGCUGAUGGAGGAUCACCUCAGGGCGUUCCGGAGUGACAUGGCGGCUAGCCAGUCAGGACCAUGCACGCCGUCCUUUAAGGACUUCAGAGGGAGUGGUGUGCCAGAUUUCCACGGGGCGAAGGACCCCAUUGCUUCCAGGAGAUGGAUUGCGGACAUUGAGUCUGCACAGCUGACCAGCUUCUGCCCUGAGGGGUCGAAGGUACGAUUUGCAACAAGGUGUUUGAGGGACCAGGCUAGGGACUGGUGGGAGUCGGUUGGUGACUCUUUGGGAGCCUCGGCUGUUGAGGCUAUAACAUGGUCAGAAUUUGUGACCCGGUUCAGAGCAGAGAUUGCGCCAGCUGUAGAGCUUCAGCAGCUGGCCAGGGAGUUCUUGGAUAUGAGACAGACCACGGAGACUGUGGCGGAGAUCACCGCCAAGUUCCGGGAGAGGGCGUUCUUGGUGCCCAGUAUGCGGGAGAUGAGGACAUGAAGAGGACCUGCUACCAUGACAUACUACGAGCUGACAUUCGAGAGCAUGUUAGUUUUUCAGCUUUCCCUACCCUGGAUUCCAUGAUUUCCAUGGCUAGGGAGAGAGAGAUUGAUCUGGAGCACAUCCGAAAGAGGAAGGCAGAGGAGGGGAAGAUGACGGGGGGCUUCGGGGAAGAAGCCCAAGGGAUCCGAUGGUAGGCCGAAGGGCCAGUCGGGGUGGGACCGCUGUGGAAAAUGCGGUCGGUCACAUGAGGGAGCUUGUCGCACUGGGCCGGGUUCAGGCUGCUAUAAGUUUGGCAAGGUUGGGCAUUUUCGGAGAGAUUGUACUGCCCCUAUUCCGACGAUACAAAUGUCAGACCUGAUUUGCUUUCAUUGCAAUCAGAAGGGCCACAAAAAAGGCCAAUUUGCCCUAGAUUGGCAGCAGCAGCGGCGCCGGCAGUGGUGCCGACUCCAGCGACAGGUCGGGUUGUGGAUGGCCGGAAGGUCAAGAUGGAGGCUCCAGUCGCUUGGACCCGAUCAUUUCAGCUGACAGCCGAGGAGGCACGCGCUACACCCGAUGUGGUGACGGGUAUGAUUUCUUAUCUUUAUGCUUUUAUAUUAUGUUGCUGUGAUUUUGAUAUAUCAUGUGCCUUGUUUAGGAUUGUUCCAUGUGAACGGAAUCCCAAUUCAGGUGUUGUUUGAUUCGGUUUCCACCCGAUCUUUUGUCUCUCUUGCGCUCAGCAAGAAGUUUCCAGAGUCUUCGGCCAUGUUGGAUUGCCCUCUAGAGGUCGAGAUUGCGUACGAUCGGUCGGUGCGAGCAUCGGAGGUCUAUCGGGACUGUGUUUUGAGGCUGUUCGAUGAGCGUUACCUUGUAGACCUGGUUCCUAUACCGCUGAGGGGGAACCAAGUGAUCAUAGGCAUGGAUUGGUUGAGCCCUAAUGGGGGCAAUGAUAGACUACGCGCAUCAACUGGUUCGGAUCAGAACCCCAAGUGGGGGAGAGUUGGUUGUUCAGGGCGAAAGGCCACAGCGAGGACCAGCGGUAUGUUCAGCAGCGAGAGCUAGGUGUUACCUUUAGCAAGGUUUCGCAGGAUAUGUCGCCUAUGUUAUGGACACCCGAGAGGCGGGUAAGGCGACGGUGGGCGAUGUGCCCAUGGUGCGUGAGUUUACGGACAUAUUCCAUGAGGAGUUGCCUAGGAUACCUUCGGAGAGGCAGGUGGAAUUCAGGAUCGACCUAGUUCCUGGUGCGACUCCAAUAGCCAAGGCACCGUAUCGGUUGGCUCCUCCUGAGAUGCAGGAGUUGUCUACACAGCUGCAGGAGCUGUUAGAUUAGGGAUUCAUUAGACCGAGUAGUUCUCCCUGGGGAGCCCCGAUUCUAUUUGUGAAGAAGAAGGGCGGGUCGCAUCGGAUGUGUAUAGAUUAUCGAGAGCUGAACAAGGUAACGGUGAAGAACCGUUACCCACUUCCGAGGAUUGAUGACCUCUUUGACCAGCUACAGGGAGCAUCUUGGUUCUCCAAGAUUGAUCUGCGUUUCGGAUACCAUCAUAUGAGGGUCAGAGAGGAGGAUGUGCAGAAGACUGCAUUUCGGACGCGCUAUGGCCACUAUGAGUUUGUGGUGAUGCCCUUCGGGCUCACCAAUGCUCCUGCCACGUUCAUGGACCUCAUGAACCGCGUGUGUAGACCGAUGUUAGACCGGUCUGUGAUAGUGUUUAUUGAUGAUAUUUUGGUUUACUCCAAGAUGCAGGAGGAGCACGAGGAGCACCUGCGAGAGGUUUUGGAGACUUUGAGGAAGGAGAACUUGUAUGCUAAGUUCUCCAAGUGUGAGUUCUGGUUGCACGAGGUGCAGUUCCUUGGGCAUCUCGCCAACCAGAAUGGGAUAUCAGUGGACCCGGCCAAAGUGGAGGUCGUGAUGAGAUGGGAGGUUCCGAAAUCUCCAUCCGACAUUCAAAGUUUCCUAGGAUUAGUCGGCUAUUAUCGAAGGUUCAUCCAGGAUUUCUCCAAGAUAGUCGUACCCCUGACCAAGCUAACAAGGAAAGUCGUGGUCUUUCGUUGGGGGCCUGAGCAGCAGGCCGCAUUCGAGACUCUGAGACAGAGAUUGUGCGAGGCGCCAAUCUUAGCCCUGCCAGAGGGCAUGGAGGAUUUUUUUGUGUAUUGCGAUGCGUCCAUCUCAGUUCUGGGCGCAGUUCUGAUGCAGAGAGAGCAUGUCAUCACCUACGCGUCGAGGCAGCUGAAGCCUCACGAGGCGAAUUACCAAACGCAUGAUUUGGAGUUGGGGGCUGUUGUUUUUGCCCUCAAGAUUUGGCGUUAUUACCUCUAUGGGGUUCGAUGUAUUAUCUACACGGACCAUAAGAGUUUGAGAUACCACAUGGAUCAGCUGAAUCUAAACAUGAGGCAGCGUCGGUGGAUGGACGUGGUAAAGGAUUACGAUUGCGAGAUCCUUUAUCACCCGGGUAAGGCCAAUGUGGUGGCCGACACGCUUAGCCGCAAGGCAACACCGAUCAGGGAUAUCUGCCUGAGGAUGACGGUGGUGACUCCGCUGUUGGAGCGGAUUCAGGGGGCUCAGCAGGAGGCCAUGAAGGGGGAACAUCGGAAGAUCGAGAGGAUUGUGGGUCAGGUUUCCUCUUUUGACUAUGACAGUCGGUGGUUGUUGACUCUGCACCGUAGGGUGUGGGUCCCGUAUCAUGGGGGUGUACGCCAGGUAUUGAUGGAAGAGGCGCACAAAUCUCGAUUCUCCAUUCACCCCGGGGCGACGAAGAUGUAUAGGGAUCUUCAUCUGGACUAUUAGCAUCCCUGCAUGAAGCGGGAUGUGGCAUCGUACGUAAACCGGUGCUUGACCUGCAGGAAGGUCAAGGCCGAGCAUCAGAGACCUCACAGCAAGAUGCAGCCGUUGGAUAUUCCGCUGUGGAAAUGGGAAGACAUCACGAAGGAUUUUAUCACUAAGCUUCCCAGGACCGCGCGGGGAGUGGAUUUGAUCUGGGUCAUCGUCGACCGAUUGACCAAGAGCACCCAUUUUAUCCCGAUUCAGGAGAGCAUCUCGGCCGAGAAGUUGGCUGACAUCUAUAUCCGGGAGGUGGUGGCGCGGCACGGUGUGCCAGUUUUUGUGAUUUCAGACAGGGAUGUGCGGUUCACUUCCAGGUUUUGGAGGAAGUUUCAUGACGAGUUGGGUACUCGUCUGCAUUUUAGCACCGCCUUCCACCCGCAGACAGAUGGACAGAGUGAGCGGACCAUCCGGACUUUGGAGGAUAUGUUGCGGGCGUGUGUCUUAGACUUCAGAGGUAGUUNUCGAAGAUAGUUGGGAUACUUACCUUCCUUUAGCUUAGUUCUCGUACAACAACAACUAUCACGCGAGUAUUGACCAUCCUCCCUUCGAGAUGUUGUACGGGAGGAAGUGCAGGACCCCGAUAUGUUGGGGUGAGGUUGGUCACAGGGUUAUGGGGAGUACCGAAGUAGUACUCCAGACUACGAAGAGGAUCCAGCAGGUCCGGAGCAGGCUUCAGACUGCUCAGAAUCGGCAGAAAAGUUAUUCCGACAAGCACCGAUCCGACUUGGAAUUCCAAGUCGAGGAUAUGUUCCUCCUGAAGGUUUCACCUUGGAAGGGUGUCAUUUGAUUCAAGAAGCGGGGCAAGUUGGGCCCUAGGUAUAUUGGACCUUUCAGGGUUGUAGCCCGGGUGGGCAAGGUGGCAUAUAGGCUGGCUCUGCCAGCCGAACUCAGUCAGAUUCAUAGCACCUUUCACGUUUCCCAGUUGCGGAAAUGUUUGGUGGACGAUUUGGCAAUAGUGCCUUUAGAGGACAUUUAGGUUGAUGACAGCCUGAACUACAUCGAGCGGCCAGUGGCAAUCCUUGAAAGGAAGUCAAAGGAUCUGAGGAACAAGAGAGUGGAGCUGGUAAAGGUGCAGUGGCAGCACCGAAAGGGCUCGGAAUGGACUUGGGAGCCGGUGGAUGAGAUGAUGGAGCUUUACCCAGAGCUUUUCUAGGAACAAGCAGCAGACUUCGAGGACGAAGUCUAAAAUAAGUAGGGGAGAUUUGUAACACCUGGUUCCUGGUACGUAUUUUUAAAUUAAGCAUCUUGGCAUUUUGACCUGAGACUCGGUGAGUUGGUGGCCCAACUCGUCGAGUAGAAGCAAAUUGGACCCGGGAGUUAAGUUACUGACUCGGCGAGUCAGAGACCGGACUCGACGAGUCCGUGCUGUCUGGACAAAAACCCUAAAAUGAGGGUUUUCACCCUAUAUAAACACCUUAACUUGGCCUCCCUUAUCCCUAAACACUUUCCUAGAGUUGUAUAUCAAAACCCUAGCCGUUUGUGUGUGUGUGUGUUAAUGCCAUUUUGGUGCUUUUGUGGACUUGUGAAGCUUGGAAGGAAGAAGAAGAGCUUGAGUAUUCGACUUGGGGCUUGUAGAUCCAGAAAUCUCAUUCUAUAUACAGCUUAAUCAAGGUAAAAUGCCCCUGCUUUGGUCUUUCUUUUGGUGUUUCAUCUUUAAAUUGUAGAUCUUGGGUGCAUUUAGGGCUUUUGAAGCCAUUUUCGGAUUUAAGGAAUGUUAUAUGGACUCUAGCUUCAAAUAUGGGCCUUAAGAGGGGUCUCAUGGCAUAAAGGUGCCAACUUUAGGGCCAUGAGAGCCCCAUGCACAUUGUAGGACCAUUUAUAUGGGUUUUUGAGCUAAAAACCCCAUGCAUGUGCAUCAAGUUUGGAACUUUACGUAUGAAAUGGACAUUAGGAGGCCAGAUCUAUGGUUUUGGUGUGUUAGACNUAGGAGGCCAAUCUAUGGUUUUGGUGUGUUAGACCUCAUUUAAAUCGACUGUAUGGAAUUGGUCAAGGGUGGACUCGGCGAGUUGUUCUUGGCACUCGACGAGUCAGUGACCAUUGUGCACCAAACCCUUCCUGUGAAUGAGUAAAUGUUAGGAGGGAAGUCCCUUGUGGGUUUGGACGUGAAAAGGGACCUGG